UGGGGAAUCUUGGACAAUGGGCGGAAGCCUGAUCCAGCCAUGCCGCGUGAGUGAAGAAGGCCCUAGGGUCGUAAAGCUCUUUCGCCUGUGAAGAUAAUGACGGUACCCGCAGAAGAAGCCCCGGCUAACUUCGUGCCAGCAGCCGCGGUAAUACGAAGGGGGUUAGCGUUGCUCGGAAUCACUGGGCGUAAAGCGCGCGUAGGCGGGUCGCUAAGUCAGGGGUGAAAUCCUGGAGCUCAACUCCAGAACUGCCUUUGAUACUGGCGACCUUGAGUCCGGGAGAGGUGAGUGGAAUUGCGAGUGUAGAGGUGAAAUUCGUAGAUAUUCGCAAGAACACCAGUGGCGAAGGCGGCUCACUGGCCCGGAACUGACGCUGAGGUGCGAAAGCGUGGGGAGCAAACAGGAUUAGAUACCCCUGUAGUCC
rnacentral:rRNA from 1 species